CGAAACUUUCAGCCAUCAGUCGAUUGGCUUAGUUCACAAUAAACACAAGUAGCUGGACUACAAGUUGAUCAGUGUUCAUUUACAAAUAUUCUCGUUAAGAAUUUUUUAUUUUUUCAUCCAAAGUUUGUUAUUUAACCAUAAGUCAAAAAUGAAAGUGUUCGCUGUUUUCGUUUUGUUCAUUGCUGUAGCUGCCGCUUUUCCAUCAGCUGAAAGCCAAGCAGAAAUAAAACCAGAAUUGCAACCAGAACAACAAGAGCAACAAAACACUCUUUCCGCAGUCGAAGGCAAUCCAAAAGGGGACAAUGUCGAAGAAAGCGAAGCUGAGCGCGCCAAGCGCCAUUUGUUCCUCUCAAAAUUCUUCUAUCCAUUUCCAGUGGCAUACACCAGCGUUGUUGCCUCGCCAGUUGUUUAUGCCCAGCCUGUUGUAACUAAAACUGUUACGCGAACUGUUGCUGCUCCAGUUGUAACCAAAACUUAUACAGCCCCAGCCGCUGUAGAGACCACAUAUGUAGCUCCAGUAGCAACUUCAGCAGUGGUGUCAAAAUCAUAUGCAGUUGCGCCAGCCGCGGUCAGAGUAAGUGCUCCAUUCGUUGAUGUUUCUGUUGGCCGAUAAAAAAUCCGUCUUCGUGCCGUAAUUUUAAUCUAUACUAUCUUAGAUUCUAGUGUGCAAUAUGUUCAACCAUAAGAAUAAAUAAAAUGAUUUUUUUUUUUAAAA